rnacentral:rRNA from 1 species
GUAGGUGGCAAGCGUUGUCCGGAUUUACUGGGCGUAAAGGAUGCGUAGGCGGAUUUUAAGUGAGAUGUGAAAUUCCUGGGCUUAACUUGGGAGCUGCAUUUCAAACUGGAAGUCUAGAGUGCGGGAGAGGAAAGUGGAAUUCCUAGUGUAGCGGUGAAAUGCGUAGAGAUUAGGAAGAACACCAGUGGCGAAGGCGACUUUCUGGACCGUAACUGACGCUGAGGCAUGAAAGCGUGGGUAGCAAACAGGGAUUAGAUACCCUGGUAGUCCACGCCGUAAACGAUGAGUACUAGGUGUAGGAGGUAUCGACCCCCCUUCUGUGCCGCAGUUAACACAAUAAGUACUCCGCCUGGGAAGUACAAUCGCAAGAUUA